AGUCACUGACAUUAGAUACCCCCGUAGUCCCAGCCGUAAACGAUGUGGACUUGGUGUUGGAAUGGCUCCGAGCUGCUCCAGUGCCGAAGGGAAGCUGUUAAGUCCACCGCCUGGGAAGUACGGUCGCAAGACUGAAACUUAAAGAAAUUGGCGGGGGAGCACCACAACGCGUGGAGCCUGCGGUUUAAUUGGAUUCAACGCCGGACAUCACACCAGGGGCGACAGCAGAAUGAUGGCCAGGUUGAUGACCUUGCUUGACAAGCUG
rnacentral:rRNA from 1 species